CAAGAGCGUAUAUUAAAGUUGUUGCAGUUAAAAGCUCGUAGUUGGAUUUCUGGUACAACGCGCCUGGCCCGCUUUUGUGAGUGCCGGUGCGCGUUUGCCAUCCUUCUAGAAAACGUCUCUACUCGGGCAACUGGGCCGGAUUCGCGAUCUAGAUCUUUUACUUUGAAAAAAUUAGAGUGUUUAAAGCAGGCUAUUGCCUUGAAUACAUUAGCAUGGAAUAAUAAUCUAGGACUUCGGUUCUAUUUUGUUGGUUCUUAGUACUGAAGUAAUGAUUGAUAGGGAUAGUUGGGGGUGCUAGUAUUGGCCGGCCAGAGGUGAAAUUCUUGGAUUCGGUCAAGACUAACUUAUGCGAAAGCAUUUGCCAAGGAUGUUUUCAUUGAUCAAGAACGAAAGUUAGGGGAUCGAAGACGAUCAGAUACC
rnacentral:rRNA from 1 species